rnacentral:rRNA from 1 species
AUUGAACGCUGGCGGCAGGCCUAACACAUGCAAGUCGAGCGGAUGAAGGGAGCUUGCUCCUGGAUUCAGCGGCGGACGGGUGAGUAAUGCCUAGGAAUCUGCCUGGUAGUGGGGGAUAACGUCCGGAAACGGGCGCUAAUACCGCAUACGUCCUGAGGGAGAAAGUGGGGGAUCUUCGGACCUCACGCUAUCAGAUGAGCCUAGGUCGGAUUAGCUAGUUGGUGGGGUAAAGGCCUACCAAGGCGACGAUCCGUAACUGGUCUGAGAGGAUGAUCAGUCACACUUGAACUGAGACACGGUCCAGACUCCUACGGGGGGCAGCAGUGGGGAAUAUUGGACAAAGGGCGAAAGCCUGAUCCAGCCAUGCCGCGUGUGUGAAGAAGGUCUUCGGAUUGUAAAGCACUUUUAGUUGGGAGGAAGGGCAGUAAGUUAAUACCUUGCUGUUUUGACGUUACCAACAGAAUAAGCACCGGCUAACUUCGUG